UGAAAGAAGGCGUCCUGCGCUGCUCCGGCCGGAACCGGAAGCGCCCUCGGGGUCUCCUGCAGCAGCGGGCCAGGAACCGGAGAGUCUGGGCCGAGCCAGGCGCAGCUUUGGGUCUCGUGGGGCGAGACAGCUUUAGGAACCGGAGGCUGGCCCACGAGGAAGAAAGGCAGCUGCUCUGGACAGUAGACUGCGGUGUGCCUUGGUGCCAGCCCUGCGGUCUUGAGCGAGGGUUGCAGCGUCCGUUUAGGAACGUGGAGCACCGUGGUUUUGUUGGUUUGGCCCGGUUAACUGUCUGGCGCCUCAUAUUUCCUAUCUUCCAUCCCCUGGCCUUAUAACUAAACUUAGGACAUCUUGGGAUUUUCUUUUCCCAUUUGCAAGCACAGCUCAGUCGCUUCUGUGAAGCCCCUCUCCUGAGGGCAGCCAGACCAAUGAGGACCGCGGAUCCCCCGCUAUGUCCGUCCCCUCUAUAGGGUGCUAUUUCUUUUAAAACAGCUUGCUCGGCUUUUCCUCCAACAGAGCUAUUGGCGAGCCUCCCAGGUAACAACUGAGAAAUCAUAACCGUGAUAGGCCAAUCAAGUCCAGAGACAAGGUGUUGACGCAAGGAAAGUGAUUUUGUGUGUAUGUAUGUUUUUAUUAUUAUUAUAUUUGUGUGUGUGACAGGGUCUCCCUAUGCAGUUCAGGCCAGCCUAACACCUUAACUGGCAACUGUUUGAGCAAGCAUCCCGGGACUUUGUACAGGUCACGCCUACUCCCCCUGCCAAUUUGCCACACUCUGAUCUCCUGCCUCAGUCAGUCUUCUCCCUGUGGUGAUUUCUGAUUGUCACAUGGAAGUCCCCUUUUCAGCCUUUAAGUGAGCCCCUUGCCUGCCCCCUGGUAUACACCUGUGGUCACCAUGGCACACGUCUCAGCUGGGGAUUCCCUUGCUGUCCUGAAUAAACUGUUUAGAGAGCUGGUCUCUGCUGCUCAUUUUUCUUGGCACCAAGCAGACAUGCUUUUUGGGCUGAACUUGAGGACCAUGUGUAGCACCUCCCUCAGCUGCUCCCCUGGCUAUCCAGCCCUCCCGGCCCAGCUCCAGCUUCCCCCGAGCCUUUUUCCAGGGACAUUGUCCUUUCUGAACUCUCCAAGUAAGAACAAGAACUGCUUUCCUGAAGCCCUAUAAGCUGAAACUGGACAACUCAAUGAGAACACUGCAGUUAAAACUUCAGUCUCUUCUGCAGGUUGCUUGAACUGGGUAAGCAUCACACUUUUCUUUAGUAGCCCUUGCAAAAAAGCAACUUGAUUUUAACCUGUCCGUUAUUUUCCUAUUUUCUGUGUCCUUUGUCCCUACCUUACAGAUCCCACUGUUUUGCUACUGCACACGGUGGGGCUAUCCUUCCAUACUGUAGGAUGGAGGCUGCCCAAUUCAUGAACCGAAGGGCCCAAUCUAUCUGUUACUGGAUGAGGAUCUUGUCCAGGUUCUUGAUGUCCUGAGCAGGACACAGAGAAUUAGCAAAAUCAAAAUGUUAU